rnacentral:lncRNA from 1 species
GCAAAUGAGCACAAGAGAAAUUUCUGGAGUGAUGAAGACAUCCUAAAACUGGAUUUCAGUGACAGCUCCACAACUUUAUAAAUUGGCUAAAAAAAAAAAAAUCAUUGAAUUGUACACUUGUACAGACAGUCCUUGACUUACAAUGGUUCACUUUAUGAUUUUUUGACUUCAUAGCCCCAUUAUAAAUUGAGGAUCAUCCGUAAUGAGUGGAUUUUUAUGGUGAGUUAUUCUUCAAUAAAGCUGUUUUUUAAAAACAGGGAAAAUGAAUGAUGAGGAAAAACUUAUGAGCCAUGAGUGCUGACUAAUGAGUCAGCUCCUGUGAACAGCGUACUGUGAAGCAUUAAGCUAGGUAUGAAUCACAGCAGUGACGAUGAGGAUGCAGGGCGUGGUGUUUACAGAGUGCCUAUUCUGGAAAAGGGAAAGCUAUGAAGACAGAAAAAAGAUCAGUGGUUGCCAGGAUCAAGGGGAGGGCGGGAUGAACAGGCAGAUCACCAAGUAUUUGUGUGGCAGUGAGACUACUCUGCAAGAUGCUACACAUCAUACGUGUGUCCAACUUACCGAUGUCUAACAAGAGUGAACCCCAACAUAAACUCUGAACUCUGGGUGUGAACAGUGUUUCAAUGUAGGGUCACCCGAUUGUAACAGAUGUACCGCUGUCCUGGGGGAUGUCCAGGGACUGUGAGGUCCUCCCCAUGCCGGUGUUCUGGGAUGAUGGCAGGCACUCAGGGGCAGGUGAAUGACACGUCUGAGGAGGCCAGGCCUUGAGCACUGUCUCUCAGCCCCUGGAGAGGUGACCAUGCUUUGGCAGCAAUAGAAUUCAUGUCCACUGAGAGUAGGACCUCAAGUGGUGACCAGAAUGGCCUCCCGGGUGCUUUGGGACUCAGAUCCAGUCCCCUUUGCCAAAUACUUGGCAUACCAAUUAGGACGGUUAUUAUCCAAACAACUUAAAAGCGGUGAAAAUGGUAAACUUAAUUUUAUAGAUACUUUACCACAAUGUAAGAAAUAAAAAAUAUAAAAAUGAAAACACAUUGCUCACAGCCCCAAGAAUGACUGAGAUGGAUUUUCCACCAGCUCAGCAGGGGAGAUUCGGGUCCCCGCCCACAUCUCCUAUCAAAUUGUAAUCCUCGGUGUACCUGAGGUCAGGAGUUCAAGACCAGCCUGGCCAACAUAGUGACACCCCGUCUCUACUAAAAUUACAAAAAUUAGCCAGGCGUGUUGGCACGCACCUGUAAUCCCAGCUACUCAGGAGGCUGAGGCACGAGAAUCCCUUGAAUCCAGAAGGCGGAGGUUGCAGUGAACCGAGAUCUCACCACUGUCCUCCAGCCUGGGCGACAGCCAGACUCUGUCUUGGGGGAAGAAAAAAAGCGUGUGGCACGUCCCCCUUCACUCUCUUCCUACUGCCCCAGCCUUGUGGGACGUGCUGGCUCCCCGUUCACCUUCCGCCACAAUUGGAAGUUUCCCGAGCCCUCCCCAGCCAUGCUUGCUGUACGGCCUACAGAACCAUGAGCCAAUUAAACCUCUUUCUUUAUAAAUUACCCAGUCUUGCGUAGU